rnacentral:lncRNA from 10 species
UGGCAACUGUGGCUACGUGGAAUUCUCUGGUAUGCGGGUGCUUUGAUCUGCGGCACACCUGGAGAUCAGGGCCUCAGCCUCAUACAACUGUCAUCGCAUGGAUCCCACACACCCCAUGGACUUCCCCAGCUGGAGGGUGCGCCGCAGGGUGGGGCCUGAAGCCCACCAGGCCAGGGUCUCAUCUCCACCGGGCCAGGGUCUUGUCUUCCUCCGCAGCUCAAGGUGCCACCAAACAGACUCGCCUUGUCCCGCAGCCAAGCCCCCGCGUGCUCCUGCCUCUGCACCUCCAGUGCUUUCCUGGGUGAGAAGCCUCUCUGGGCAAUGGAGUGCCCAUUGUCCCUUCGACAAAGGGGCACAUGCUGCAGAGGGCAGCCGUGGGGGGGUCUUCUGAAAACAGGGAGCGGGGCUACUGCAGGAUCGUCCAGCUGCACCCCCAGGCCCUGGGGUCCUAGAACCCUUCCGUGGGAUGCAGUGGUGUGAAGGGGGUGUGGAUGGUCCCCACCCCCGCUUAGUCAAGAAUCUAUCUAUUUCCUGCGUUGUGCAUCUGUUGUUUUUGGAGAGUUUUUGGGAGUGAGGAGUCUGGGGGCCCUUCUGGUCUCUCGUCCUCCUGAGUCCUGGCAGCUGGACGUCUGCAGCCAGGCUAGGGGAGGGCAACGGGGCCUCUGGACCAGCUAGGGAACCUGGAGGAGGAUGUUUGGGGGAAGUCCAACAGCUGAGGGGGAGCCUGUGGGGGAACAGCGGUGGGACGAGCCCCCUAUCCCCUACACCAUACUGCCCAUCACAGCAGCUUACAGAAGGGGCAGGGCAGGUGUGCUCAACGGGGAACCUAAAACAGGGAACAAGAAGGAGAUGGAAGAACGGCCACUGUCAGUCCAGUAGUGCAGCUAGGACAAAUGACCAUAGGCCCGGUGGCUUAUCAACAAUGGACAGUUAUUUCUCCCAGUUCUGGAGGCUGGAGGUCUGUGAGCAGCAUAGCACUCAACUAAUCCCACUCAUGAGGGACGGUGAGCAGCGGCGUGCGCCAGUCUUGCAGACACACAGCCAGCGGAAGC